rnacentral:rRNA from 1 species
AGGUCCCAAGCGUUGUCCGGAUUUAUUGGGCGUAAAGCGAGCGCAGGUGGUUUCUUAAGUCUGAUGUAAAAGGCAGUGGCUCAACCAUUGUGUGCAUUGGAAACUGGGAGACUUGAGUGCAGGAGAGGAGAGUGGAAUUCCAUGUGUAGCGGUGAAAUGCGUAGAUAUAUGGAGGAACACCGGAGGCGAAAGCGGCUCUCUGGCCUGUAACUGACACUGAGGCUCGAAAGCGUGGGGAGCAA